GACAAUGACUGACUGGAGAUACAAAUGGGGAAAAAGUAGAAGAAAAAACUGUCAACGGAACGAGUGCCACGCCCCCGAACCGCCUCCUCCUAGUCCCAUGGAUGAUACGCAUAGUUGGAGACCGUGUGCGAAAGAGAUGGCCCAGCCGAGGGUGCGAGAGAGAGAGCAGAUGGCUUAACCCUCCGCUGGCCAACCAACGAUUGUUUGUUGUGGCAAACAACGACCGCCGAUUGGCUUCACUUAGCUCGGCUUCUUUUUCUUGGCCCACCAAUCUGUUUGGCCAUCUGCCUCCCCAUUGCCUUCUAUUUUUUAGACCAGUUUUUUUAAACUGCUUUUUUUUUGUUUUCCAUUUUUUCCAUGCUUGAUGGACCUUGGUAAUCGCCUUUGCGGUCAACGGAGAAGUCAAAAGCGGCUGUAUCUCAGGGUUCGCGUGUACUUUUCUAACUGCCAUUUAACUGCAAAUUGAAAAACGCAUUUCGAGUGCGGUACGAAAAAAAAAGUAGUAAACUAGUAUAAUAACCGCCAUAUGCGUGCAAUGGAAAAACGUCAACGGGCAGACGAGCAUUUUCAUUCUCAUCUCGUUGUCACGCACCUGGCAACCCUUUUUCUACCUUAUUUUUUAACCAUUUACCAUUUAAUAUAUUUUUGUUCUAUUUGUCUACUUUUAAUGCUGCGACACACACGCACUUUUCUGUGCAACGUGCCACUUGCUGUGGCAUGUUGCCACCGUGUAAUUGCGAUAAGUACAGGCCAGGUCGAAACCAUUGGCCACAAAACUUGGCCCAAAUGCCGCAGUCACUGAAUCGAUUCAAGGGGAUGCAUCAUUUCCCCAGAUGGCCUCAGUUUCGCGCUCUGGAUUCUAUUUAACAGUCAGUUAUAUUUAAAAAAAAAUUAAAGGUUUUACAUUAAAAAUAUUUACUAAAAUAAAAUAAUAUUUGUUGGGA